GCCCGUGUAGCUCAGUGGAACGAGCGCCCGGCCCACACCCGGGAGGCCCCUGGUUCGAUCCCAGGUGCGGGCA
rnacentral:tRNA from 1 species